rnacentral:misc_RNA from 2 species
AACGCACAUUGCGCCCCUUGGUAUUCCAUGGGGCAUGCCUGUUCGAGCGUCAUUUGUACCCUCAAGCUUUGCUUGGUGUUGGGCGUCUUGUCUUUUAUUAGACUCGCCUUAAAGUCAUUGGCAGCCAGUGUUUUUGGUAGUAAGCGCAGCACAUUUUGCGUCUUAGUCCUUAAAUCGUGGCAUCCAUGAAGCCUCUUUUUCACUUUUGACCUCGGAUCAGGUAGGGAUACCCGCUGAACUUAA